UAAGCAUGUGAGCAUCUCCACAUAUAUGUGUUGGGUGAUUCUUCCAUGUGUGCAUGUGGGUAGUAAUCCCUUGUAUGUGAGUAGGUGUAGGUGUGUGGUGUGAGUCCAUAUAUACAUGUGCAUGUGUAUGUGUGUGCACAUGUGUGUGUGUGUAUGUGGAUGACCACAUUUCUCUAUGCUAGUGUGACCAUGUUAGUGAGUCCAUGCUAUGCCUAGAUAGGUUGUUCUUGUCCUAGUGUAUGUGCAUGUGUAGAUGAUGCCAUUGUGAUAGUUUCCACAUGUGAUGAUAGUCAUUUGUAGCUUAUAGGAUUCUAUGUGAC
rnacentral:lncRNA from 1 species